rnacentral:rRNA from 1 species
CACGUAGGGGGCGAGCGUUGUCCGGAUUUAUUGGGCGUAAAGAGCUCGUAGGCGGCUCAGUAAGUCAGGUGUGAAAACUCCAGGCUCAACCUGGAGACGCCACUUGAUACUGCUGUGGCUAGAGUCCGGUAGGGGAGCAUGGAAUUCCUGGUGUAGCGGUGAAAUGCGCAGAUAUCAGGAGGAACACCAGUGGCGAAGGCGGUGCUCUGGGCCGGAACUGACGCUGAGGUGCGAAAGCGUGGGGAGCAAACAGG